rnacentral:rRNA from 1 species
CCGGUAAACGGCGGCCGUAACUAUAACGGUCCUAAGGUAGCGAAAUUCCUUGUCGGGUAAGUUCCGACCUGCACGAAUGGCGUAAUGAUGGCCAGGCUGUCUCCACCCGAGACUCAGUGAAAUUGAACUCGCUGUGAAGAUGCAGUGUACCCGCGGCAAGACGGAAAGACCCCGUGAACCUUUACUAUAGCUUGACACUGAACAUUGAGCCUUGAUGUGUAGGAUAGGUGGGAGGCUUAGAAGUGUGGACGCCAGUCUGCAUGGAGCCGACCUUGAAAUACCACCCUUUAAUGUUUGAUGUUCUAACGUUGACCCGUAAUCCGGGUUGCGGACAGUGUCUGGUGGGUAGUUUGACUGGGGCGGUCUCCUCCUAAAGAGUAACGGAGGAGCACGAAGGUUGGCUAAUCCUGGUCGGACAUCAGGAGGUUAGUGCAAUGGCAUAAGCCAGCUUGACUGCGAGCGUGACGGCGCGAGCAGGUGCGAAAGCAGGUCAUAGUGAUCCGGUGGUUCUGAAUGGAAGGGCCAUCGCUCAACGGAUAAAAGGUACUCCGGGGAUAACAGGCUGAUACCGCCCAAGAGUUCAUAUCGACGGCGGUGUUUGGCACCUCGAUGUCGGCUCAUCACAUCCUGGGGCUGAAGUAGGUCCCAAGGGUAUGGCUGUUCGCCAUUUAAAGUGGUACGCGAGCUGGGUUUAGAACGUCGUGAGACAGUUCGGUCCCUAUCUGCCGUGGGCGCUGGAGAACUGAGGGGGGCUGCUCCUAGUACGAGAGGACCGGAGUGGACGCAUCACUGGUGUUCGGGUUGUCAUGCCAAUGGCACUGCCCGGUAGCUAAAUGCGGAAGAGAUAAGUGCUGAAAGCAUCUAAGCACGAAACUUGCCCCGAGAUGAGUUCUCCCUGACUCCUUGAGAGUCCUGAAGGAACGUUGAAGACGACGACGUUGAUAGGCCGGGUGUGUAAGCGCAGCGAUGCGUUGAGCUAACCGGUACUAAUGAACCGUGAGGCUUAACCUUACAACGCCGAAG